AUUGAACGCUGGCGGCUUGCUUUACACAUGCAAGUCGAACGGUAACAGGCCUUCGGGUGCUGACGAGUGGCGAACGGGUGAGUAAUGCAUCGGAACGUGCCCAGAGGUGGGGGAUAACGCAGCGAAAGCUGUGCUAAUACCGCAUGUGAUCUGAGGAUGAAAGCGGGGGACCAGGCAGCAAUGUUUGGCCUCGCGCCUUUGGAGCGGCCGAUGUCAGAUUAGGUAGUUGGUGGGGUAAAGGCCUACCAAGCCGACGAUCUGUAGCUGGUCUGAGAGGACGACCAGCCACACUGGGACUGAGACACGGCCCAGACUCCUACGGGAGGCAGCAGUGGGGAAUUUUGGACAAUGGGCGCAAGCCUGAUCCAGCAAUGCCGCGUGCGGGAAGAAGGCCUUCGGGUUGUAAACCGCUUUUGUACGGAACGAAAAGGCUCUGGCUAAUACCUGGGGCUGAUGACGGUACCGUAAGAAUAAGCACCGGCUAACUACGU
rnacentral:rRNA from 1 species